CAGGAACAGGCGGCCCUCUCCCUCCCUCCCUCCACUCUCCUCUCUCUCCGGCUUCUAUAAAAGCAGCCCUUCGUCUCCAGCCCUUCAACCCAUGAACAGCAAAGGGCGAAUAGUCUAGUCCAGUUCCCUCCCCCAGAUUCCCCUUUUCAUAGCUCUCCUUCUCGUCGUUUUUCUAUUCCAGUUCUGCUGGCUUUUUUUUUUCUAUAUUUCUAUUUCUGCUAUUGUUAUUUGCUUCCCUAUCUAUUCUAUCCAUUAGUUUAUGGACUUCUGCGGAUAGAUCUCAUGGUUUGUUUUGCUUCUUUCUUGCGUUUCUUGGGCCAUAUAUCUGCCUGAUGCUUGGAUUCGAAGCGGAGCUCCUAUCAUUCCAAUGAAGGGCCCUUUUCAUGGGUGGUUCCGCUGCUCGUUCAUGGUUCCCACUAUCCUAUCUCAUCAUGUAUGUGUGUAUGUACUCUAGAGGGCCCGAGAAGAGAUUCAUGUGGUCGUCAGUCUUUGAGAUAGGCUUGUGGUUUGCAUGACCGAGGAGCUGCACCGUCCCCUUGCUGGCCGCUCUUUGGAUUGAAGGGAGCUCUGCAUCCUGAUCCAUCCAUUCCAUCCCCCCAUGCUUGCUUUGUUUAUUGGCUGUUCCUGAGUGAGAUCUGAGGCUCAUGGCUGUAUGUAGCCAUGGAUUUUUUUCCCUUUCUCCUAGCUGCUGCUGCUGUUUCUCCAAGAUUCAAUAGGCACGGUCUGCCGUGCUUAUCCGUGCUGGAGCUGGAUGAAGCAGGCUGCUUUGCUGCUGCCCUCAUCCUCAUGCCCUGGAUGGUGUGGUAUCGGUACCCCGUACUUGCGUCGCUUUAUUCCUAUCUUUGCUGGUGAGGUGUUAUGUCAGUACAGUAGUUUAUGUCACCCUCGUUUAUCUUGUUCUAUAUGCUUCGGUUUCCUAUUCUUACCCUGCGUCGGGCGCGUGCGUGCAUUAUAUUUCCGGUGGUGCUCUUGGAUCUUACUCUGGACGCACGCAGCUAGCCGCACGGCCAGCAGCUUCACCUCUCCAUGGCCACAUCGUCAACUCCUCCAUUGCAGAUUCGCAUCUCGCUUCCUCGGCGCUCAGCUCAUCCGCGCUCCGGCCGGUGACGGUGAGCUCGCUCGUCGGCGGCGCCAGUGACUGAUGCAAGUUUGGGGAUGCAAGGACGUCGUCGUUCUAGCAGUUGCACUUACAGCCAUGGUUGCGCCAAGCUUGUUUGGACUUUGGAUCUGGUGUGAUGCCGGAUAUCUGUAAGAAAUGCUUUGUGGUGUAAUGAGAACUGAGAUUCUCUGAAUGAAAUAUGUGAGCCUGAUGUACCACUUGGGAUACUUGUAUCGUGAGUUGAUGAGCAUAUUGUAUUCGUCCGCUUUUUGUAUAAACUUUCAAUGCCUACGUGCAACGUAUGCGCAAUGCCGAUUUCAAUUCAGCUUUAUC